AUGGACUGGAACUGGGUCUUUCUUUUUCUCUUGUCAGUAACUGCUGGUGUCCACUCCCAGGCCCAGCUGCAACAGUCUGGAGCUGAGCUGGUGAAACCUUGGUCUUCAGUGAAACUCUCUUGCAAGGUACCCAACUACACCUUCAUCAUCUAUGCUAUGCACUGGGUAAAGCAGAGGCCAGGACAUGGCCUGGAAGGGGUUGGAGAUAUCGUUCCUGGAAUUGGUGUUACUGUAUAUAAUGAGAAGAUUAAGGGCAAGGCCAGACUGACUGCAGACACAUUCUCCUACAUGGAACUCAGCAGAUUGACAUCUGAGGACUCUGUGGUAUAUUACUGUGCAAGACACAGUGUUGCAACCACAUUCUGA